rnacentral:rRNA from 1 species
UAGGGAAUCUUCGGCAAUGGACGAAAAGUCUGACCGAGCAACGCCGCGUGAGUGAAGAAGGUUUUCGGAUCGUAAAACUCUGUUGGUAGAGAAGAACGUUGGUGAGAGUGGAAAGCUCAUCAAGUGACGGUAACUACCCAGAAAGGGACGGCUAACUACGUGCCA